AUCUGGAGAUCGAUAGAGUUAAUUUCUAAUCAUAGUGUAUUGGCUCAAUGACCUCUAAUCCAUUGAAUUUGAAGUAAAUCUUUUUGGAAAAAAAAAAAGAUCAACGUAGAUUGUCUAAUCGAAUUGCGGAGGAAAUCCAAGGUUAAUUUAUUUUAAAUUAAACCUAAAUAUUUUGGAUUCUAAAAUGGUUGUGAAGAUCAUGUAGUGACCUUAAACAUGAUUAAUGGCUUGAGUGCUAGUUAUGGUUAGUAUACUCUACAUAAAUUGAGGACAGAGAGAUCUGGAGAUUCUACUCAAUUAAAUUUUUGAAAUUUGGAUUUUCUUACUCCUGGUGCAAAGCGAUAUAUCGGUCAUAAAUCAUUUAGAGGCUUUAGAGUAUUUAAUGGAUUAAAUCAGAGUGUGCAGCGGAAGUGUGGUGGUUUGAGUUAUUUUGAAACUGGUUAAGGACAUUAAUAUUUGAUCUAAAAGGUAUUAUGAUGGAACACUUGAGUU
rnacentral:lncRNA from 1 species